rnacentral:rRNA from 1 species
UACGAAGGGAGCUAGCGUUGUUCGGAAUCACUGGGCGUAAAGCGCACGUAGGCGGAUGUGUCAGUCAGGGGUGAAAUCCCGGAGCUCAACUUCGGAACUGCCUUUGAUACAGCACGUCUUGAGUCCGAUAGAGGUGGGUGGAAUUCCUAGUGUAGAGGUGAAAUUCGUAGAUAUUAGGAAGAACACCGGUGGCGAAGGCGGCCCACUGGAUCGGUACUGACGCUGAGGAGCGAAAGCUAGGGGAGCAAACGGG